GUCCCUUUAGCUUAGUUGGAAAAGCGUUCGGUUGAAGCCCGAAAGUCUGCGGUUCGAUUCCGCGAGGGGACAC
rnacentral:tRNA from 4 species